GGGGACCGGACUUCACUCCAAACCCCUGUGACAUACCUUUAAUUGUUGCCUCGGCGGAUCAGCCCGCGCCCCGUAAGACGGGACGGCCCGCCAGAGGACCCAAACUCUAAUGUCUUUAUUGUAUCUUCUGAGUAAAAAACAAACAAAUAAAUCAAAACUUUCAACAACGGAUCUCUUGGUUCUGGCAUCGAUGAAGAACGCAGCAAAAUGCGAUAAGUAAUGUGAAUUGCAGAAUUCAGUGAAUCAUCGAAUCUUUGAACGCACAUUGCGCCCGCCAGUAUUCUGGCGGGCAUGCCUGUUCGAGCGUCAUUUCAACCCUCAAACCCCCGGGUUUGGUGUUGGGGAUCGGCGAGUCUGCAAGGACGAGCCGGCCCCGAAAUCUAGUGGCGGUCUCGCUGCAGCCUCCAUUGCGUAGUAGCUAACACCUCGCAACUGGAACGCGGCGCGGCCAAGCCGUUAAACCCCCCAAAUUUCUGAAUGUUGACCUCGGAUCAGGUAGGAAUACCCGCUGAACUUAAGCAUAUCAAUAAGCGGAGGAA
rnacentral:rRNA from 1 species